rnacentral:rRNA from 1 species
GUGCCAGCAGCCGCGGUAAGACGGAGGGUGCAAACGUUGUUCGGAAUCACUGGGCGUAAAGGGCGCGUAGGCGGACAUGUAAGUCGGGAGUGAAAUCUCGGGGCUCAACCCCGAGCCUGCUUCCGAAACUGCACGUCUUGAGGACUGGAGAGGAAAGUGGAAUUCCCGGUGUAGCGGUGGAAUGCGUAGAUAUCGGGAGGAACAUCGGUGGCGAAGGCGACUUUCUGGACAGUUCCUGACGCUGAGGCGCGAAAGCUAGGGGAGCAAACAGGAUUAGAAACCCUGGUAGUCC